UACGGAGGGAGCUAGCGUUGUUCGGAAUUACUGGGCGUAAAGAGCGUGUAGGCGGCCUGAAAGGUCAGCUGUGGAAAACUCGAGGCUCAACCUCGAGACGUCGGGUUGAAACCAUCUGGCUAGAGUCCGGAAGAGGAGUGUGGAAUUCCUGGUGUAGCGGUGGAAUGACGCAGAUAUCAGGAGGAACACCGAUGGCGAAGGCAGAUCUCUGGGCCGUAAACUGACGCUGGAGGAAGCGAAAGCGUGGGAGCGAACAGG
rnacentral:rRNA from 1 species